AGGCUCACCUUGGCAGCACAUAUACUAAAAUUGGAAAGAUUCAGAGACAAUUAGCAUGGCUCCUGUGCAAAGAUGACACAAAAAUUUGUGAAGCAUUCUAUAUAUUU